CCGAGUUCAUGCCCUCACGGGUAGAUCUCCCACCCUAUGUUAUUAUUACCUCUGUUGCUUUGGCGGGCCGUCAGGCUUCGGUCAGGCUACCGGCUCCGGCUGGUAUGCGCCCGCCAGAGGACCCAAACUCUUUUAUCAGUGAUGUCUGAGUACUAUAUAAUAGUUA
rnacentral:misc_RNA from 1 species